AAACUUCAUAUCCUUUCUCUUAUUCCUCCCGAAGCCGCCCCCCCUCCCUCCCAUGGUUUGCCCCUCCUCGUACGCAAGGUCUUGGUAGAAGGGUAGCUUCAAGUUUCCUUUAGACAUACAGGCAUGGAGGGGGCUCUGGUCCAGUCAGCAAUUGUUCCUACUGUAUAUGACAGCUGCGCUCAGGUCCGUGGGCGUGCCAGGGCGACAUCGUUCCGUAGUAUUGCAGCUAAGGUUCUUAAGUCAAUGGGCAUCAAUCUUAAGGAUGCUCGUGUAGAAGUUGAGAAGAUCAUUGGGCGAGGCAGUGGUUUUGUGGCCGUCGAGAUUCCUUUCACACCCCGUGCAAAGCGUGUGUUGGAGCUAUCGCUUGAAGAAGCUCGUCAACUUGGUCAUAAUUACAUAGGAUCUGAACACUUGCUGCUGGGCUUGCUUCGUGAAGGUGAAGGUGUGGCUGCCCGAGUGCUAGAAAGUCUCGGCGCUGAUCCAAACAACAUCCGCACACAGGUCAUAAGAAUGGUUGGUGAAAGCACAGAAGCUGUUGGUGCUGGUGUUGGUGGUGGAAGCAGUGGUCAAAAAAUGCCCACACUUGAAGAAUAUGGUACUAAUUUGACGAAGCUAGCUGAAGAGGGUAAACUAGAUCCAGUUGUUGGCAGGCAGGACCAAAUUGAGCGUGUCACCCAAAUAUUAGGCAGGCGAACAAAGAACAACCCUUGCCUAAUUGGAGAGCCAGGUGUUGGCAAGACUGCUAUUGCAGAGGGACUUGCACAGCGUAUUACCAACGGGGAUGUUCCAGAAACAAUUGAAGGAAAAAAGGUUAUUACACUUGACAUGGGGCUGCUUGUUGCUGGCACCAAGUAUCGUGGAGAGUUUGAAGAAAGGCUGAAGAAGCUUAUGGAGGAAAUUAAGCAAAGUGAUGAUAUCAUUCUCUUCAUAGAUGAAGUGCACACUUUGAUUGGAGCUGGUGCAGCUGAGGGUGCAAUCGAUGCAGCCAACAUCUUGAAACCUGCUCUUGCAAGAGGUGAAUUGCAGUGUAUUGGUGCCACAACGCUGGACGAGUACAGAAAGCAUAUUGAGAAAGAUCCGGCACUGGAGAGAAGAUUUCAGCCAGUCAAGGUUCCAGAACCGACUGUUGAUGAAACCAUACAAAUUUUGAGAGGCCUUCGUGAGAGAUAUGAGCUUCACCAUAAGCUGCAAUAUACAGAUGAUGCUCUUGUUGCUGCUGCGAAAUUGUCAUACCAGUAUAUCAGUGAUCGUUUCCUGCCUGACAAAGCUAUAGACCUGAUUGAUGAAGCUGGAUCACGCGUCAGACUGAGGCAUGCUCAGCUCCCUGAUGAAGCCAAAGAAUUGGACAAAGAACUCCGCCAGGUUACCAAGGAUAAGAACGAGGCAGUACGUGGCCAAGAUUUUGAGAAGGCUGGGGAACUAAGAGACAGAGAAAUGGAACUGAAGGCACAGAUUACGGCCAUCAUUGACAAGAGCAAGGAAGUGGUUAAGGCAGAGAGCGAGUCUGGUGAAGUUGGUCCUUUGGUCACGGAGGCAGAUAUCCAGCAUAUUGUCUCCUCUUGGACUGGAAUACCUGUCGAGAAGGUUUCCGCUGAUGAAUCUGACCGUCUCCUGAAGAUGGAGGAAACACUGCAUCAACGUAUCAUUGGCCAGGACGAGGCUGUGAAAGCUAUUAGCCGUGCAAUCCGUCGAGCCCGUGUUGGCCUCAAGAACCCAAACAGACCUAUUGCUAGUUUUAUAUUCUCUGGACCAACCGGUGUUGGUAAAUCAGAACUUGCUAAAGCUUUGGCAUCGUACUACUUUGGCUCUGAGGAAGCCAUGAUCAGGCUUGAUAUGAGUGAGUUCAUGGAGAGACAUACUGUUUCAAAACUAAUUGGGUCGCCACCCGGAUAUGUUGGCUAUACUGAGGGUGGUCAAUUAACUGAAGCAGUUCGUCGUCGCCCUUACACAGUAGUUCUCUUUGAUGAGAUCGAAAAGGCACAUCCAGACGUCUUCAACAUGAUGCUUCAAAUACUGGAAGAUGGAAGAUUGACUGACAGCAAGGGGCGGACUGUUGAUUUCAAGAAUACGCUGUUGAUCAUGACAUCUAAUGUUGGAAGCAGUGUCAUUGAGAAGGGAGGCCGCAAGAUCGGAUUUGACCUUGACUAUGAUGAGAAGGACACCAGCUACAACAGGAUUAAGAGCCUGGUGACUGAGGAGCUAAAGCAGUACUUCCGGCCUGAGUUCUUGAACAGAUUGGAUGAGAUGAUUGUUUUCCGCCAGCUGACAAAGCUGGAGGUGAAGGAAAUUGCAGACAUUAUGCUGAAAGAAGUGUUUGACAGGCUGAAGGUAAAGGAAAUCGACCUUCAAGUGACUGAAAGAUUCAGAGAUAGGGUGGUGGAUGACGGCUACAACCCAAGCUACGGUGCCAGGCCACUGCGGCGCGCUAUCAUGAGGCUGUUGGAAGACAGCCUGGCAGAAAAGAUGCUGGCUGGCGAGGUCAAAGAAGGUGAUUCCGCUAUCGUAGAUGUUGAUUCAGAAGGCAAAGUUAUAGUUCUCAAUGGUGGCAACGGUGUCCUGGAGCCGCUGACACCUAUUUUGAGCACCUAAUCAUACGGAGCACAUGAUUACGGAACCCAUUGUUUCAGCACAAGCUGUGGCGUGGAGCUGACACCAAUUCUCUUUCAUUAGGUGGUGUUGUGUCGUUAGAUAUUGCUUGCAAGCGAGGCACUAGAAGAUUCCGUAUAGCUCACCGGCACGCCUAGAUUUUCUGUUUUUGCUUUUGAAAGGAAUCUGGAGGCUUUAUUUUUAGGAUGCCUAUAUCUGCCACACGUGUGGCACGAGGACCCCCAGACCAAACUCCCGUCCCCAUCAGUACACAUUAUGCCAUGUCACCGUAUGCAUGUAUAAAUGACGAAACUGAUGGUGUCAGUGAAAAUCUUUUGGAAUGACAAAACUAAUGAUGUCAAUGGGAAUCUUUUGGGUUUUUUUUUUAUCUUUUAAAUGAAAAGUCUGAUUGAAAAAUCAUUUUCAACAUUAAAUCUGUCGCGACGAGAUCUUUGAAACUAGAUUUCAUAUUGAUAUGCUUUGAUGAUUUUUUGGGUUGAAAGUUGCC
rnacentral:rRNA from 1 species